AUUGAACGCUGGCGGCAGGCCUAACACAUGCAAGUCGAGCGGAGCGGCGGACGGGUGGGUAGUGCCUAGGAAUCGGGCUGGUCGUGGGGGACAUCGUCCGGAAACGGGCGUUAAUGCUGCAUACUAUCAGAUGAGCCUAGGUCGGAUUGGCUAGUUGGUGGGGUAAAGGCUUACCUAGGCGAUGAUCCGUAGCUGGACUGAGAGGAUGAUCGGUCACACUGGAACUGAGACACGGUCCAGACUCCUACGGGAGGCAGCAGUGGGGAAUAUUGGACAAUGGGCGAAAGCCUGAUCGAGCCAUGCCGCGUGUGUGAAGAAGGUCUUCGGAUUGUAAAGCACUUUAAGUUGGGAGGCGGUACCAACAGAAUAAGCACCGGCUAACUACGUGCCAGCAGCCGCGGUAAUUC
rnacentral:rRNA from 1 species